GACGAACGCUGGCGGCGUGCUUAACACAUGCCAGUCGAACGGAAAGGCCCUGCUUUUGUGGGGUGCUCGAGUGGCGAACGGGUGAGUAACACGUGAGUAACCUGCCCUUGACUUUGGGAUAACUUCAGGAAACUGGGGCUAAUACCGGAUAGGAGCUCCUGCUGCAUGGUGGGGGUUGGAAAGUUUCGGCGGUUGGGGAUGGACUCGCGGCUUAUCAGCUUGUUGGUGGGGUAGUGGCUUACCAAGGCUUUGACGGGUAGCCGGCCUGAGAGGGUGACCGGCCACAUUGGGACUGAGAGACGGCCCAGACUCCUACGGGAGGCAGCAGUGGGGAAUAUUGCACAAUGGGCGGAAGCCUGAUGCAGCAACGCCGCGUGCGGGAUGACGGCCUUCGGGUUGUAAACCGCUUUCGCCUGUGACGAAGCGUGAGUGACGGUAAUGGGUAAAGAAGCACCGGCUAACUACGUG
rnacentral:rRNA from 1 species